rnacentral:lncRNA from 1 species
UUGAUGGGGAUAGAGAGUUUUUGUUUAGCUUUUUCUUUUAGAGAGAGAAAGUUGUAUGAGAGAUGACAAUAUAUAGAGAGGUACAGAACGUCAAACGUCUCGAGUUAAAAAUUUUCAAGAAGCAGUUAUCUUUUUCCCGCCAAACGUCAGGAUGAAGUGACACUCUACGGCUGUGUUACAGACCACAUUUACGGCUGACUUAGUAAAUUGGUUUAGGGUUUAUGGUUGCUUAUUUAGGGUUUAGGUUUGCUUUUUUGAGUUUUUAAGUUUGGGAUUUGGACUUUAUGGUGCAAGAAUAGUUAUAAAAACACAAAUUCAUGAUAAAUAACACAAUAAUAGUUUAUGAGUUUUAAAUUAUGCUCACACCUCAUAUGUAUCAGUUGUGGGAACCAAAAUUCGCACUG